UACGAAGGGGGCUAGCGUUGCUCGGAAUCACUGGGCGUAAAGGGUGCGUAGGCGGGCCUUUAAGUCAGGGGUGAAAUCCUGGAGCUCAACUCCAGAACUGCCUUUGAUACUGAGGAUCUUGAGUUCGGGAGAGGUGAGUGGAACUGCGAGUGUAGAGGUGAAAUUCGUAGAUAUUCGCAAGAACACCAGUGGCGAAGGCGGCUCACUGGCCCGAUACUGACGGCUGAGGCACGAAAGCGUGGGGAGCAAACAGG
rnacentral:rRNA from 1 species